rnacentral:rRNA from 1 species
AUUGAACGCUGGCGGCAGGCCUAACACAUGCAAGUCGAGCGGAUGAAGGGAGCUUGCUCCUGGAUUCAGCGGCGGACGGGUGAGUAAUGCCUAGGAAUCUGCCUGGUAGUGGGGGAUAACGUCCGGAAACGGGCGCUAAUACCGCAUACGUCCUGAGGGUGAAAGUGGGGGAUCUUCGGACCUCACGCUAUCAUAUGAGCCUAGGUCGGAUUAGCUAGUUGGUGGGGUAAAGGCCUACCAAGGCGACGAUCCGUAACUGGUCUGAGAGGAUGAUCAGUCACACUGGAACUGAGACACGGUCCAGACUCCUACGGGAGGCAGCAGUGGGGAAUAUUGGACAAUGGGCGAAAGCCUGAUCCAGCCAAGCCGCGGGUGUGAAGAAGGUCUUCGGAUUGGAAAGCACUUUAAGUUGGGAGGAAGGGCAGUAAGAUAAUAGCUUGCUGUUUUGACGUUACCAACAGAAUAAGCACCGGCUAACUUCGUG